rnacentral:rRNA from 1 species
GAUGAACGCUGGCGGCGUGCCUAAUACAUGCAAGUCGAGCGAACAGACGAGGAGCUUGCUCCUCUGACGUUAGCGGCGGACGGGUGAGUAACACGUGGCUAACCUACCUAUAAGACUGGGAUAACUUCGGGAAACCGGAGUUAAUACCGGAUAAUAUAUUGAACCGCAUGGUUCAAUAGUGAAAGACGGUUUUGCUGUCGCUUCUCGAUGGAUCCGCGCCGCAUUAGCUAGUUGGUAAGGUAACGGCUUACCAAGGCGUCGAUGCGUAGCCGACCUGAGAGGGUGACCGGCCACACUGGAACUGAGACACGGCCCAGACUCCUACGGGAGGCAGCAGUAGGGAAUCUUGCGCAAUGGGCGGAAGCCUGACGGAGCAACGCCGCGUGAGUGAUGAAGGUCUUCGGAUCGUAAAACUCUGUUAUUAGGGAAGAACAAAUGUGUAAGUAACUAUGCACGUCUUGACGGUACCUAAUCAGAAAGCCACGGCUAACUACGUG